GGCGCCUUGGCCGAGUGGUUAGGCACAGGUCUGCAAAACCUGGUACACCGGUUCGACUCCGGUAGGCGCCUCUA
rnacentral:tRNA from 1 species